rnacentral:lncRNA from 1 species
CGAUGGCGGUGCCAUUGUACCCGACGGGCUUGAGCAUGAGCUUCAUCCAGCCGGAGUAGCCCUCGCGGCGGAGGUUGGCGACGGUGAUGGCUCUCUGGUCCUCGGUGCGGCCGGUCACGAACACCGGCUUGAUGCCGAGCGAGAUGAGCUUAUUGUACAGCCGCUGCGUCUCCGGCAGCACCGGCGCGCUCCCCUCCAUGACGUACUCGUUGAAGCUCGUCGCGUUGUACGGCUUCGUGCUGGGUUAGCAUGGAAAAAGAAGACAAUUCGUGGCAAGGUUAAAUUAACAUCCUAUUUGAGACAUAAUCAGCAAAUUGAUCAUUACUUGGGUAUUCUACAAAUCACACGCUGGUUUACUCACGUACUCUACUCUUUUUUCUUCGAACUAGGCAAGCAGCUGGCGAUUAUAUUAAAAAAAGAUGAAGUCCAGCAAAUAAAAAAAACAACACAAACACUAGCAGGUUGUAUUGGGUCAUUAACAUAAUGCCGCACUAUGCCAUCGCACUCAACUCAACAACAUAUCGACCGGUUAGAUUAGGACAUCAACACGUGUCGAGCUCAACUCAUCUUAAACACACUCUGCCCUGUCGGAUUGAGACAUCGACACGAGCCACAUAACUGCCUUCACUUCGUGGUAGCCCCUUAACACUUGUUGCCAUGGUAACAGCCCUACCACCACCAUCGGUCCACCAACACCCCCCAAACGAGCAGCGCCGACCACCCGACAAAGCCAAGAACCUACAAGGUCACCACUUGCGCCGUCAUAACUGAUGAUGUUUCACAUCGAGCCAAAUGUUGCUAUGCAGGAUUGGUCGCCACAAACCACUGCAAGUCAUGUAGCCAUCGCACCAUCGUAGCUGCUUGCGCCGUCUCUCGACGUUGUUCUGCAUCGGGCUAACCUUACCAAGCAAGAUUAGCGGUCGCAGCCCACUGCAAGCCGCGAAACUGACUCACGAGUAGCCACCUUUGACCGCCACCAGGCCGCCCACACCACCGCCAACCAACCAAAGACCACUCCAAAAAAGCAGACACCAGCCGCCGCCACCGAGAGAUCCUCCAAAGCGAUGUCUCCAACGAAAGAAAUGACGUUCUUAGGCAUCGUCAUCGCUGCUCCGACAGGAGCACGGCUUUCACCAUGAGGACAUCCCAUCGGGGGAGAGAGUAGGCAUUGUGCCGACGCCUCCAAGGAGGAGUAUGGUGCCCAAAGAUGUCAAAGCCGCAAGACUUUCGCCCGCUGCCACACUAACUCGACCCGGCAAUGAAGCAACCUGGAGAAGAGAGGGGCCCAUCGCAAUCAAUCACACCCCCAUAGCAUCGCUGGUAGCAGCAGUGCACGCCACUGGCGGCCACGCCACCACGGCGCAACUGAGAGCUUCGUAGGCACAUCCUCUCCACACCUUCGCUCCACUGCAGCACAGCAACCGCCCGCCGCUUGAAUCAAAGCGCAAGGCCACCACCUCCUCCCUCCGCAUCGGGCCACCGCCAUGAGCAGCCCCUCACCCCGCGCGGCCUUGCUCAGCCGCCCUUGCCUUGCACCUGCCGUCGCCAAUGCAUGGCCUCCUCACGCCGCGUAGGCCGGCACCUCGCAACCUCAUCUCCCCACCCCGCGCCGGCCGCCGUGACACGCGGCCUCAUCUCCCUCACGCCGUAAGGCCUCCUCCACGCCGCAGACCAGUCCGCCAUCCGGCCACCGUUGACACGCGGCCUCAUCUCCCUCGCGCCGUAAGGCCUCCUCCACGCCGCAGACCAGUCCGCCAUCCGGCCACCGUUGCCCACGCGCCGCGCCUCCGCGUGCCUCCUCCACUGCGCCCACACGCCGCCGCACCCCAGAUCCAGCGCGCGGCCCAUCUUCCGCCACCGCCGCCUACUCCUGUGGCCUCCUCGCCCACGCGCAGCGCCGCCACGUCUGCGCCAACGCGCUGUCAUCGCAGCUGAUAUUCGGCCGGGUCUCACCCCGAGCCGCCAAAGCAGCCCCGCCGCGACCAUCCUAGCCCUCAUGCGGGCUUCCGGUGCCGGGCUCCAGCGGCAGCGAGAUGGGAGCUGGGGAUUGGGGCGGCGACGGCUAGAGUUUGGGAGGUGCCGCCCGGGUGAGAGCGACGCGGGGCCGAAAGGAGUUGCGAUUAUGGACAAUUAGCGUUCCUCCGUACGUACUCUACUUUCAUGACAAACUGGUGUGUGUGUCGUCAUUUGCAAAAAUGGAGUGUGUCCAGUUUCUCCGUACGUGUGUCCAGUUCUAAAACAACUCUAUUACAAAAAUGGAGCACACACGCACGUGAACAGUAGGCGAUCUUUUGGAUAUGACAUUUGCGAAAACGAUAAGAUUUUGUAGCUACCAAGAAUUGGCCAAAGGCCAAAGCGGACCACGCUGGUCCUACUAGAUAUGGCCUGCAUAAUCUCUUCGACGACGUCGCCAUACGGCAAUAGUUUUGCUCGGACACAUACAUGAGUCCAACAGGAUCUGUGUGACUGUGUCCCUUUCCUAUCUUGAGAUAUAGAGAAAGAGAAGGACGAAGAGAGAAUAAAGGAGAGCUGUACACAUUUUUAAAUCCUUUUUAAUCCUAUCUCUUGAGAUAUAGAGAAAGAUAUUAUGGCAUCAGCUAGAGCUUACCAGUGUUUUAAAUAGCGGGAUAUAUAGCGGCUCCCAAGAGCUGCUGGCCUGCUGCUAUAACCGCUACAACAAAAGUAUCAUGCUAUAGCGGGAUAUCGUGCCGCUUUUAGUGGCUGAAACCCUAUAAUAUGCUAUUUAGAACACUGAGCUUUUAGUGGCUCAAAUCCUAUAAUUCGAGAUUCAGUACAUGUGCCAGAGCAUACACGUACCAGACAAAACAUACACAUACUCCUACUCCGUACGUGCGUUGAAUCGCGAAACAACGUUACGUACCCGAAGCCAUCGGUGGCGUAGUAGGGGAGGUUGGAGAGCGUGGUCUCGUCGGUGUCGAACACCCACACCUCCUUGCCCUUGCCGCCGAGCUUGAGCCCCUCGGCGUACGCGACGGCCUCGUCGACGACGUCGCCGGAGUCCUGGCGGUAGUGCCCGCCGAGCAUGUAGUGGCCGACGUAGCCCUCGCAGUCGACCGGCACCGUCCGCCAGUCGCGCUUGUUGUACGCCUCCACGGCCAGCCGCCAGCUAUCGCAUGGCACGCCGCCGCGCCGGCCGAGGUCCCCGGCGGAGCCCACCAUCGGACGCAGCGCGUGGAUCACCGGCGCCGCCACGUCUGCCUCCUUCUGGCGCUCAUCCGCGGCCACCUGGACGGCCGCCCAUGCGCUGCAGGAGCUGCCGGCCACGAGGGCCACGAGGAGGACGAGCCUGGCCGUCGCCGUCGCCAUGGCCACUCUGCUAGUGCUAGCCGAGACUAUGGACAGUGUGCUGUUUUGCUUGAAACGAGCACCUGCCCGUCGAUGCGUGUGAGGUUUAAUAGAAGGUGCUUGCCUGAGCAAUGGAUCUAGCGAGGCUCACAUUGUCACCUGGUCAUCAGCACGUACGUGAAUCGCAUUGGUUGCUUUCUAAAUUUUUGUUGUUUUCUAAACUUUCUCACGGUAACUUUAUAAUUCCUUAAUAUGUCCAUAGAAAAAAAAUGUUACAAGUUGUAUGACAAAAAAAUUUGAAAAAUAGUUGUGGAGUUGUCACGUAGUUCGAACGGACAAUUGUUUCGCAAUUCAGCACCGACGUGGCGACGUCCUGGCCUUACGAUGAUAACGAUCGCUUGUGUCCUUCACAUUGGGCUCUGCUUGAUGGCCGUGUAGAGCAACUCCAAGAGUAUCCUAAAAAAUUCUUCCCCAAAACUAUGUAUUGGGGUUUUUCUAAAAAAAAUUUCCCCUAAAAAUAUAUCAGUCCACAGCAUAUCGCUAAUAAAUAGCCCCCAAUAUUUCAAACACAGGCCACAUCAUCGUAUUGGGCCCAUCGGAAGGGACGCGCGGGCGUGCGGGAAUCAGGAUUGGGGGAGGAACGCCAACGCUAAAAUAUACGCGGUGGCAAGUUAUUUUUUAGCGUCGCUAAAAAAUUGGGAAAGGUUUAGGUGGAUUGUUGGAGUUCAUUUUUUCUCUCCUUUUUCCUAAAAAAAGGUAUUGGGGUAAUAUUAGUAGCCUCUUGGAGUUGCUCUAAGCUUCUUGCAAAAAAAAAAUGAUCGUGUAAGCUUCUUGGAUGACCAAAAAAAAGGUACUUCUGUUGUGGUUGGACGCCAUGAAUAUUGCGCACGUGUCAAACUAUAUUCUAGAGGUAAACUUCAUGAACCAUUCGCAAGAGGUACUUUUGUUGUGGUUGGACGCCAUGAAACACAAAAGGUGCUAGUGCAAUUGCCAUCUGCUGACAUAGUUUUCUUUUUUAUUAGCAUUAUAGUUUUCUUAUGUUUUGUCAAACUUUUGGUUCAAUUUUGUUCAUAUUUCGAUCAAAAUACGAAUUCUUUGACCGGUCAACACAACUGAAUUCCGGUCUGAAUUUUCUGAAAUUCGAUAGGCUCUGAAAUUUGAGUAAAGUAUGUGAUCGGUCCUUAAACUUGUCUGAUCCUUAAACUUAUCUGGCUGUGUCACUUAGGUCUCCAUACACUCAAAAUGCAUAUCUGGCUCCCGAAACUUGAGUUCAGGUAUCAUUUAGGUCCAUGUACUCUCAGUAUGUACAUCUAGCCCCCUAACCUUAUUUUCGGAUGUUAUCUAGAUCCAUAUACUCUCCAAAAGCAUUGUCAUCUCAACUAAAUUGAUAAAAACUUGUUUUUACACAUAUAUCAUUUAACUAUAGUCGAAUAAAGUGAAUUUCGACUCAACGUGUCCGGAGAAUACUGAUGUGCUGAAUCCAGAAAGAUUGAAGAUAUUUUACUUUGGAGGUAAUAUCUUAACUUACUAGGUGCGCAUGGCUGGCGUGCUCCAUUAUUCUUGGAAGAUUAUUCAAAUUUGAAUAUGCAUUUACUAAACUAAAAUCAGGGAUUUAUAAGAUAAAUUACUGGACAAAUAUUGGGAGAAGCUGAAGGGGCAAUAAAACAAGUCGGGAAAUGUACCACUGAAAGUAUUAGCUUGCUUGAAUGCAUAAAAUUUGAUCUUAUGAUGUUUUAUUAGUGGGAUGACACUGCAUUUCAUGAGUUAAGGGACCUGUAUGAUACCCGAAGUCAAGUUUAAGGAGUGAGAUUUGCAUUUUGAGAAUAUAGGGACCUAAAUGACAUCAGAGCCUAAGUUUAAGGAGGUAGGUAUGCAUUUUGAGAGUACGGGGAUAUAAGUGACGUAUACGGACAAGUUUAUGAACCGACCAUGCACUUUACUCCUGAAAUUUUGAAGUUUUUGAAUCCUAUAGCCUUAUUGCUGGCUUUUUUUAAGGGUACAACAAGGGCGCACACAACCAACGCAUUCCACACGUACACACAUAGCCUUAUUGCUGGCUGGGCUGGCGCAUGGUGUGCUGGGCCAGUCCAGUUAGGAGUUAGCUGGGCUGCACGUUUGAUGGACCAGAUUAUUAAGCGGGCGGGCCCACCAGGGCUGGUUAGCUGGGAUUAGGUAGGAUAGGUUUAGGUGGGCCGGUUGGUAACUGGGUCGGGGCUAGUCAGCUUGGUAGGGCCCAUGUUGUAGUCAGUAGGCCUAGGGUAGUUAGAGCCCAACUUCGAUAGGUUAGCUUUUGAUUUAUAUUUGAAUUUUGAAUUCAAAUAUAAAUUACACUCAAUAUCCAAAUAAACUAUAAAUUUCACACUAAGAAUUAUUUUCCCUUACAGUAAAAUUUAAUGUUUUACUAAAUUUCUUAGUUAGGGAUUACACAUUUUUUAAAAUCCACAUUUUUCUCACAUUAACAUUCCAGAAAAAAAACUGAAAUGUUACAAAUUACAAUGGUCUUGUUACUAGCUAGUAGAUAAAAAAAAAUCAUAUUAUGAUAGUAAGAGGAGAAGGUAAUACUACGUACACAUGAGAAUUUAUAAUGUCCAUUUGACCUAACAAGACAAUCAAGGUUAUCGAACAUAAAUAAUUACUUCCUCCGUCUCAAAUUGCUAUUUGUUUUAUCUUUUCUAGAUGCAUAGUUUUUGCUACAUAUCUGGACAUAAUAUAUAUAUCUAGGUGUAUAGUAAAAUUUACGUAUCUAGAAAAUCUAAAACGAAUAAUAAUUUGGAACGGAGGGAGUAUUGACUAAUCGAAUCUUAUUCCACUCAAAUCCUAACCGUUGAGUAAAAGACGACAUGGAACGGUUUAUUAAGAACCGAGGGGUAACAUCACGCAGUUCAUUACAAAACAGGCGAUGGAUCGAGGGAGAGUAGCCGGCGCUGGAUGUUACGGAUCGGAGGCCAUCUUCGCUUAGCCGAUGUAGUAGAUCGGGUCGGGCAGCUUGAAGGUGCGUGCCCCCUCCGGCGCACCGAGGAUGUCGCUCCACUGGUCGCCGAUGUUGCCGACGAUGACGUAGCCGGCGUCCACCAGCUUCUUCCGCUCGCCGGACUUGAAGCCGACGGCGGAGGCCUUGAAGCCGACGGGCUUGAGCAGCAGCUUCAUCCACCCGGAGUAGCCUUGGCGGCGGAGGUUGGCGACGGUGAUGGCCCUCUGGUCCUCGGUGCGGCCCGUCAGGAACACCGGCUUGAUGCCGAGCGCGAUGAGCUUGUUGUACAGCCGCUGCGUCUCCGGCAGCACCGGCGCGCUCCCCUCCAGCACGUACGCGUUGAAGCUCGUCGCGUUGUACGGCUUCGUGCUGGGUAAGCAUGCAUGGAAAAAGAAGACAAUGCAAACUCAUCACUUGUCUACUCUCUACAAAUCACACACUGGUUUUACGUUACGGUCCUUUCAUACAUGACAAACUGGUGUGUCCAGUUCUGAAACAACUUUAUUAGAAAUGGAGCACACACGAUCGUGUGAACCGUGGGCGAUCUUUUGGAUAUGACACUUGCGAAAACGAUAAGAUUUUGUAGCCAGCACGCAUUGGCAAAAGGCCAAACGGACCACGUACGCUAGUCCUAAUCGAUAUGGCACGCACAAUCUCAUCGACGACGUCUCCAUGUGGCAUCGGACACAUGCAUGCGUCCUAAGGGGGUGUUUGUUUUUUUAGUCGCUCCUAAAAUUUCUGUCACAUCGAAUGUUUAGAUACUAAUUAGGAGUAUUAAAUAUAGACUAAUUACAAAACUAAUUGCACAGAUGGAGACUAAUUGGCGAGACGAAUCUAUUAAGCCUAAUUAGUUCAUGAUUUGACAAUGUGAUGCUACAGUAAACAUGUGCUAAUGAUGGAUUAAUUAGGCUUAAUAGAUUCGUCUCGUGAAUUAGCCUCCAUCUGUGUAAUUAGUUUUAUAAUUAGCUCAUAUUUAGUCCUCCUAAUUAGCCUCCAAAUAUUCGAUGUGACAUAAAUUUUAGGAGGUCCUAAAGAUCCAAACACCCCCUAAGACUCCAAGAGAUCUGUCCCUUUCCCAUCACAGAGAAAGAGAAGGACGAUGAGAAUUAUAAAGGAGAGCCAUACGUUUUUUAAUCCUACUAUCUUGAGAUAUAGAGAAAGAUAUUAUAUUAUUAUGACAUCAGCUAGAGCUAAUAACCAGCAGAAUAUAGCGGCUCCCAAGAGCUCUCCUGCCAUAACCGCUACAACAAAAAUAUCAAGCUAUAGCGGAAUCUAACUGGCGCUUUUAAUGGCUGAAGAAGACUGCCGCUAAAUCCUAGUCCUCUAUUUAAAGCACUAAGCUAGCUCACUAUUGCUUUUCUCUAGAAUCAGUACACAUGUUCUGGUGCAUAUACGUACAAGACAAAACAUACAGAUAUGACGUGUAGUGUACGUGGCAAUGCCUUUGUUCUUGUUUGUUUUGGCUUUUCUAGACGCAUAAUUUUUUAUAUUCACCUAGGUAGAUAUUAGAUUUUCUAGACGCAUAACUUUAGAUAUUCACCUAGAUAGAUAUUAGAGCAACUUGUCAGGUGGGUACAGAUUGGUCAAACAACUUAUAAAAUGCUCAAUCUAGUACAAUAACUUGUAAAAUGGGUGCAAUUUAGUCCAACAACUUGUAAAAUGCUCAAUUUAGUAUAUUAACUUGAUAGGUGGCUGCAGAUUAGUCCAACAAUUUUAAAAAAUUCAAGUUUGAGUAUUUUACAAACUGUUGAACCAAUCUACACUCACCCGAUGUAUUUACUCUAUAUAUUAUAUCUAUAUAUAUAGCAAAAGUUAGAUACGUGAAAAAAUCAAAAUGAAUAGUAUUUUGAGCCGGCGGUACAUAUACGCAGGCACAUGAGCUGGCCGGUUAACAUGAUUAAUUAGUAUGUGCCAUGACAUGGAUUCCUAGGUGCCAUGCGUUGAAUCGCGAACAACGUUACGUACCCGAAGCCGUGGGUGGCGUAGUAGGGGAGGUUGGAGAGGGACGUCUCGUCGAUGUCGAACACCCACACCUCCUUGCCCUUGCCGCCGAGCUUGAGCCCCUCGGCGUACGCGACGG